rnacentral:rRNA from 1 species
AUCAGUGGCGAACGGGUGAGUAACACGUGAGCAAUCUGCCCCAGACUCUGGGAUAAGCGCUGGAAACGGCGUCUAAUACCGGAUACGAGCUACGAAGGCAUCUUCAGUAGCUGGAAAGAACUUCGGUCUGGGAUGAGCUCGCGGCCUAUCAGCUUGUUGGUGAGGUAGCGGCUCACCAAGGCGUCGACGGGUAGCCGGCCUGAGAGGGUGACCGGCCACACUGGGACUGAGACACGGCCCAGACUCCUACGGGAGGCAGCAGUGGGGAAUAUUGCACAAUGGGCGCAAGCCUGAUGCAGCAACGCCGCGUGAGGGACGACGGCCUUCGGGUUGUAAACCUCUUUUAGCAGGGAAGAAGCCUUCGGGUGACGGUACCUGCAGAAAAAGCACCGGCUAACUACGUGCCAGCAGCCGCGGUAAUACGUAGGGUGCAAGCGUUAUCCGGAAUUAUUGGGCGUAAAGAGCUCGUAGGCGGUCUGUCGCGUCUGCUGUGAAAACCCGAGGCUCAACCUCGGGCCUGCAGUGGGUACGGGCAGACUAGAGUGCGGUAGGGGAGAUUGGAAUUCCUGGUGUAGCGGUGGAAUGCGCAGAUAUCAGGAGGAACA